ACCAUGCAGUCGAACGGUGAAGAGGAGCUUGCUCCUUGGAUCAGUGGCGAACGGGUGAGUAACACGUGAGCAAUCUGCCCUUGACUCUGGGAUAACUGCGGGAAACUGUAGCUAAUACCGGAUAUUACCUUGGAAGGCAUCUUCUGGGGUGGAAAGAAUUUUGGUCAAGGAUGAGCUCGCGGCCUAUCAGCUAGUUGGUGAGGUAAUGGCUCACCAAGGCGACGACGGGUAGCCGGCCUGAGAGGGUGACCGGCCACACUGGGACUGAGACACGGCCCAGACUCCUACGGGAGGCAGCAGUGGGGAAUAUUGCACAAUGGGCGCAAGCCUGAUGCAGCAACGCCGCGUGAGGGACGACGGCCUUCGGGUUGUAAACCUCUUUUAGUAGGGAAGAAGCGACUGGGUUUUCCUGGGAGUGACGGUACCUGCAGAAAAGGCACCGGCUAACUACGUGCCAGCAGCCGCGGUAAUACGUAGGGUGCAAGCGUUGUCCGGAAUUAUUGGGCGUAAAGAGCUCGUAGGCGGUUUGUCGCGUCUGCUGUGAAAACCCGAGGCUCAACCUCGGGCCUGCAGUGGGUACGGGCAGACUAGAGUGCGGUAGGGGAGAUUGGAAUUCCUGGUGUAGCGGUGGAAUGCGCAGAUAUCAGGAGGA
rnacentral:rRNA from 1 species